GGAAUACAAGCCUUUCAUUGACUCGUAGGAAAAAAAAGAAAAUCUGCAGAUGCUGGAAAUCCAAGCAACACACACAAAUUGAUGGAGGAAUUCUGCAGGCCCAGCAGCAUCGAUGGAAAAAGUACAGCUGAUGUUUUGGGCAAGGGGAUAAGAAAGCAGACCUCAGACGUGAUGAAUGUGCAGCCACGUACAUAUAAUGUAGCAUUGAAAACCAGUGCAGCGAACAAGUAGGUCAUCUGCCUGAGAACAGUCUGCAGAGGCACAGGGAUAUAACAACAGAAGCAACAAGCCAUUGAAGCAAUACUCAUGCAGUUAUUAGCUCAGAAAAAUAAACUAAACAAUGUUUUCAGUGCAGGAAAUGUCUUUUAUGCCUGCUGACCACAAAACGUAAAUGGUUUGGUUUAUAUUCAUUAUAGUUAAUGAUGCACACAAUGAUGCACUAUGCUGCGUUCUAAAGACAAACAUUUGUUUUCCAUUUACCUUGUGUGUGCACUGCAAGCUGAGAUGGUCUUUGCAAUUGUGAAGUUAAUAAUAGAUGUACUUUCUAAUUGAACUAAUGUGCAUAGAACGAAUCCUGUAUUCAGCAAGAGGAUAUAAUAAAUGCUUCCCUUUGUGGGUUCUUAUAACCCACAUGGCUUUUCAUGAAUUACUCAACAAAUUACAGUAUCUUGCAGAAAAUGUCUCCUGUCAAAGUCGCUUGAUUAAAGGAAAACUUCAGAAAGUUUAAAGAUUAUCAUCCCUAAGUGUCAUUUUAUUUUGAUUCUUGCUUGUGAAAAUUUGUGUAUUUAUAUUUAAUGUACAAACUAACAAGUUACAUCUGAAUUUGUAAAAACAAUUUUGAUUGGACAGAGCACUUGAAUCUCAGAAAAUGCG